rnacentral:lncRNA from 1 species
GAAAAGGAGAAACAUCCUUUCAAGAAGAACAAGUCUAAGCUGAAAUGUUAUAACUGUGAUAAAAAAGGUCAUUUUGCUUGUGAGUGUACUGAGCCAAAGAAGGUAAAAACCCUUGAUGAUAACAUUAAUAUUGUUUAUGUCUUUAGCUAUAUUUAUUUAACUAAAUCACAUCCUUUGUGAAUUAUAGACUCAAUCGCCAC